GAUGAACGCUGGCGGCGUGCCUAAUACAUGCAAGUCGAGCGAAGCGGGGACGGGUGAGUAACACGUGGAUAACCUCCUAUAAGACUGGGAUAAAUUCGGGAAACCGGGGCUAAACCGGAAACUUAUAGAUGGUUCUGCGAUUCAUUAGCUAGUUGAUAGGGUAACGGCUUACCAAGGCAACGAUCCAUAGCCGACCUUAGAGGGUGAUCGGCCACACGGGAACUGGGACACGGUCCAGACGCCUACGGGAGGCAGCAGAGGGGAAUCUUCCGCAAUGGGCGAAAGCCUGACGGAGAAAGGCGGCGUGAGUGAGGAAGGUCUUCGGAUCGUAAAACUCGGUUAUUAGGGAGGCGGUACCUAAUCAGAAAGCCACGGCUAACUACGUGCCAGCCGCCGCGGUAAUAC
rnacentral:rRNA from 1 species